CAUAAGUAUAACCAUAAUACAGCAAUUCAGCAAUUAUGUUUUGUUUGGUUUAGUUCUUGUAAUGCAAUCUCAACAUUUUUGUAAAACGAACAAACUUUGUUGAAGAUUGAUAACAUAUUUUUUUUGAGAUUAUUGGAUGUAGUCAGGUUUGUGUAAGUGUUUUAUUUUAGUUUAUUCUGUAUAUUGGAAGAGAUACAAUGGAGCGCAACCAUAAUCGAGGAUUUGAUCCUGAUUCAGAACUGGAGUCUCAGUUUAUAUUGAGAUUACCAAUGGAGCCAGCAAAAGUUCUUCGCGAAGCCAUUAGAAAUAAUAGCACUUUAAAAGAUAUAAUCUCUUUAAAAAUUGAUAAUGACCUUCGACAUGGGGAAGUAAGAGUUGACCAAUGGCUCAUGAUUGCCAAAGUUGUUGAUUUGCCAACUGUAGUUGAGUCAUUGAAAACAAUUGAUGGAAAAGGUUUCUAUAAAACGGCUGAUAUCUGUCAGAUGCUGUUAUGUCGUCAUGAGGAUGACCAAGUGACUGAUGAAGAUUCUCCUCAAAAAACUAAGAAGAAGGACUCAUUAAAGGUGGAGAAGAAAUAUCUAUGGCCUCAUGGUAUUACACCACCAACAAAGAAUGUUAGGAGGAGAAGAUUCAGGAAAACAUUAAAAAAGAAGUAUGUCGAAGCUCCAGAGAUUGAAAAAGAAGUGAAAAGGCUUCUUAGAAUAGAUAAUGAUGCUGUGAGUGUGAAAUGGGAAGUCUUAAAUGAAGAUGAUGACAAUAAAGUCAAUAAAGGAACUGUGAUUAAGAAGGAACCAAUUGAUCCAAACCCCAAUGUUGCUGAACAUGAUAUAUUUGGAGGAGCAGUGAGUGAUUCUGAGGAAGAGGAUGCCACUUUGCAUGUAUUGGAAUUGGACGAGACAAGCCAGAAUUCUGCUGAAGACAGUCAUCUAACAGAUUCAAACUCAGUUAUGAACAACACUGUUGACUCCAAGAUACUGACCGAAUUUUCGACAGAUAUGUUUAAUUCAAUGGACAUAUCACCACUACAAGACUUAGAUUAUUAUCAGCCCCAGUCAUCUAGUGUCUGUUAUUCUUCAAUGAAUUUGUCUAGAGCGAAUAUUGAAACGAGAUUGGAAGAGGUGCAGGGAGAGAUUGCAACAAUCAAAAAUAGAUUGGCACAGCAUGAAUCUGAAAUUGAGAACAUCGAGAACCACUCAUUGAGGCAAAGGUUCCAAGAGAUAUCUAGUCGCCUAUACCAAGAACAAUCUGACAAGGAGCGCGAACAAGUCGAACUGAACGAGCUUUUAAAGCAGAUCAUAUAAAUAUUUUCUUUUAUUUUUCUACAUCUUGUUCAUUUUGAUCAUGUACUUAUUUUUAUUAUAUAUUACAUUGUUUUCCAUUCUACAUUUUUUUUCGAACUGCUAUCUCACGUUCGUACAUCGAUAGGAAACCUAUAGGAAACGUAAGACCUUCGCUAAUACAAUCAUAAAUUGCAAGUUUUCUCCCCAUCAAUAGGCUUCAACUUUGCGCAUUGAUUUUCAGCAGAUGUUGAUUAUCGCUGUCGAAAGAGUUGCAGCCUCGUUACAUAAUGUUAUUAAUUGCCUGUGAUUGACUAGACCAGAUGGUGUCGUUCACAUUGUUUGCAAUCGACAACUAAUUUAACUUAAACAUAAAGUUCGCCAAUAUUCGAAGAAACGUCUUGGACAAAUCGAAUAAAUGUUUUAUUAUGAAACAGUCGCCAAAGACGUUGUUCUUUGAUUACCUUCCCACUCGAAGGUUGCAUUCGUUGAGUGUAUAAUUUACGCAUUGAUUACUUUCUGCGUGGUCGACUGGCCGUCUGCUAAAGGUCCUUGGAGCAUUCGCUACAAAAUGCAUCUUCAGAUGACUAACUGUACAUACUACGUGCACAUUUAAAUAAUGCACGUGAUCGAGAUUUUGAGGAUAAGAUUAAAUUUGAUAAAACUCUUGUCAGCAAGGAAAAACAUCAUAAUAGAUAUGUGAUAGUGUUCUAUUCGGUAGUGAAUAUUGGUUACAAAGCAAUGAUUCGUGGGUCCAUUGAAGAGUAUAGGGAGGAAAAUGUGCGACAAAGGUUUCCCAGGAAUCGAAGACCAAAUGUCCCAUAUAGUUCGACUCCUAGUUUACCACAAAAUUCGCCUACCUUACGACAGCGAUUUGCCCAAUUCGCAAUAAACUUCUUCAAGAAAGAUUGCAAAAGCAACAAAAAGAAAAUAGAUUAACUUAACACAACAA